rnacentral:rRNA from 1 species
AGUGAACGCUGGCGGCGUGCCUAACACAUGCAAGUCGAACGAUGAUGGAGAGCUUGCUCUCCUGAUUAGUGGCGCACGGGUGAGUAUACCAUAGAUAAUGUACCCCUUAGUUCGGGAUAGCAACUGGAAACGGUGAUUAAUACCGGAUACUCCUUCUCAUUAUAAGAUGAGUCGGGAAAGUUUUUUAGCUAAGGGUUCAGUCUAUGUCCUAUCAGCUAGUUGGUGAGGUAAUGGCUAACCAAGGCUAUGACGGGUAUCUGGUUUGGGAGGAUGAUCAGACACGCUGGAACUGAGACACGGUCCAGACUCCUACGGGAGGCAGCAGUGAGGAAUAUUGCACAAUGGAGGAAACUCUGAUGCAGCAACGCCGCGUGGAGGAAGACGCAUUUCGGUGUGUAAACUCCUUUUAAGAGGGAAGAUUAUGACGGUACCUCUUGAAUAAGCACCGGCUAACUCCGUGCCAGCAGCCGCAGUAA